rnacentral:tRNA from 1 species
UGGGGCAUGGUGCAAUGGCAGCACAGCAGUCUUUGGAACUGUUGAUUCUGGUUCGAGUCCGGAUGCCCCAG